CAGAGAAAGAGAGAGCAAAAGAGCAAGAAUGAACUUUUACAUGUCUAGUUGGUUCAGAGAUUUUGGUUCUGCUGUCUUUCUUCCUCCUUCUAGAUCAUGGUCGUUGAGACUUAGUUAUCUCCUAAAAGCUCCCAGGUUUCCUGUUUAGCUAUUCUGCAGUCUUGAUCCUUUCUAGGGAUCUAUCUGGUUGUCAAUAUAAAAAAAAAUCUUACAUCGAAUAUGACAUACAUUUAUGGCUCACAAAUCUCUAGUCUACAACCAAUGAAUUUUAUGUGUAUAUGGGACAUGUAACCACCAAAUGAAGAUGUGGAUUUCCAACAUUAUUUCCCAGUGUGGUAUGGCCACAUUGUUGAUGGGACUUGAGGUAGAUUAAUGCACAAACUUUCAUUGUAAAUAGAUGCCUUUGAAUGAUUUGAACAGAGUUAGACUUUUUUUAAAAAUUAUUUUUGUUGUUGUUGUUGUUGAUGGACACAAAACCUUUAUUUUAUUUAUUUAUUUUUAUGUGGUGCUGAGGAUCAAACCCAGUGCCUCAUACAUGCUUGUGAAAUAAAAUAAUUGCUCUACCACUGAGCCACAACCUCAGCCCCAGAGUUAGACUUUUAAUUGUAGAUUGUCACAGAAAACCCUGCAGUUUUCUGGUAUACUGGACAUAAGCUUAGCCAGGAAGCCAGGGAGAAUUCAAACUAGAAGUUUCUUGAAUUCAAUUAGAG
rnacentral:lncRNA from 1 species